AGCAGCCGCGGUAAUUCCAGCUCCAAUAGCGUAUAUUAAAGUUGUUGCAGUUAAAAAGCUCGUAGUUGAAUUUCGGGGUUAGUAGGUUGGUCGUGCCACUGGUAUGCACUGGUCUUACUGAUUCCUCCUUCCUGAUGAACCGUAAUGCCAUUAAUUUGGUGUUGCGGGGAAACUGGACUGUUACUUUGAAAAAUUGAGUGCUUAAAGCAAGCUAACGCUUGAAUACAUUAGCAUGGAAUAAUGAAAUAGGACGAUUGAUCCUAUUUUGUUGGUUUCUAGGAUUGACGUAAUGAUUAAUAGGGGUAGUUGGGGGCAUUAGUAUUCAAUUGUCAGAGGUGAAAUUCUUGGAUUUAUUGAAGCUAACUACUGCGAAAGCAUUUGCCAAGGAUGUUUUCAUUAAUCAAGAAC
rnacentral:rRNA from 1 species